rnacentral:rRNA from 1 species
UCCACAUCUCUUAAACCCUUUAUUACUAUUAAGUAAUUUUAUAAACAUAUAAAAGCUUUUAUGCUAAAACUAGUAACAAGAAAUUGAAUUUCUCCAAAAUUUAAGUAUAAACCAAAAUGGACUAACCAUUGGUAAUUAACGUUAAUAAACUUACUAUAGCAACACACCAAGAAAAUACUAUAUUUCUACACGUUAACCUUACACAAGUAAAUUUCCGGAAAGAUUAAAAGAAAGAGAAGGAACUCGGCAAAUUUUAACCCCGCCUGUUUACCAAAAACAUCGCCUCUUGAUAAAAUAUAAGAGGUCCAGCCUGCCCAGUGAUAUACUUAAACGGCCGCGGUACCCUGACCGUGCAAAGGUAGCAUAAUCAUUUGUUCUUUAAAUAAGGACUUGUAUCAACGGCAUUACGAGGGUUAUACUGUCUCCCCUUUCCAUCAGUGAAACUGACCUCCCCGUGAAGAGGCGGGGAUAAAAACACAAGACGAGAAGACCCCAUGGAGCUUUAAACCCAAUAACAAAUCUUCUUAAAUAAACCUUAAAACGACGAGUAUCUGUUUAUUGGUUUUGGGUUGGGGUGACCACGGAGUAAAAAUUAACCUCCUUGACGAAUAGAUUUUAUCUUUAUCCAAGAGCCACUGCUCAAAGAAUCAAAAAUUUGACGUUACAUGAUCCGGCAGCCGAUCAACGAACCAAGUUACCCUGGGGAUAACAGCGCAAUCCAUUUCAAGAGCCCCUAUCGACAAAUGGGUUUACGACCUCGAUGUUGGA